UACGGAGGGGGCUAGCGUUGUUCGGAAUUACUGGGCGUAAAGCGCAUGUAGGUGGUUCGGAAAGUCGGGUGUGAAAGCCCUGGGCUCAACCCAGGAAGUGCACUCGAAACUUCCGAGCUGGAGUCUUGGAGAGGGAAGUGGAAUUCUCGGUGUAGAGGUGAAAUUCGUAGAUAUCGAGAGGAACACCGGUGGCGAAGGCGGCCUUCUGGACGGUGACUGACGCUGAGAUGCGAAAGCGUGGGGAGCAAACAGG
rnacentral:rRNA from 1 species